rnacentral:lncRNA from 1 species
GGGUUGCCUGACUCCGUCUAAAUCAGCCUUUGAUGUAAUUUGGAGACGCGGGAGCAAUUGGCUGUGCUUUGCGCACUAAACGCAUCGCGCGACCCCCUCAUGGCAGCCCCUCGGCAAGCACACUGGGCGUCGGAAGGCGCGUGUCACCGCGCGCCCCAUUCUAUUUGAUUUUCUGCUUUUCAUGUUUAUACAGUUCGACUUUACUAGUCGUCGCAAUGCGCAGGUAUCCGCGCCAGCGACCGCCUAACCAAGCGGGAGCGGCACAGCCAGUUUGACUCCCUCCAUCGGUGGCACCUCUUUCCACGAGUGUUCCCGACGACCGUCGAAAUCCCCCGAGUCGCCUUCCCUCCGGAUCAUCUCGAGGGGCAUGCAGAGGAUCCGAGGCUCCUUCUCUGUCCUCGCCGGAGGACCUUCGACUUGCAGCCUCAGUUCGUCACAUGCAAACAAAAUCUCCACUUUUUGAAAGAGAACAACAGAAGGUUGUGCCAGCAGGCGUUGAUGGUGGAGGCUCUCAACUCAUACAGUGACUCUUUGAUUGUGCUGAUGCAGUGCGCUAUGAUGAAUUCCUGCCAACACUGCCCGACGUGGCUGAUCCUUCCUGCAACUUGCCAUUCUCUCCUGAAACCGAACCUUCGCUUCGACGUGUGCAGGUCGCAUUGUGGACAGGGCGCGGACGACAACACCCGGAAAGAAUACGAUUGCCCCACUUCAAAAGGGACACACUCCUGA